rnacentral:rRNA from 1 species
GACGAACGCUGGCGGCGUGCUUAACACAUGCCAGUCGAACGAUGAUGCCAGCUUGCUGGUGGAUUAGUGGCGAACGGGUGAGUAACACGUGAGCAACCUGCCCCUGACUUCGGGAUAACCGCGGGAAACCGUGGCUAAUACCGGAUAUGACGCGCUAUCGCAUGGUGGUGUGUGGAAAGAUUUAUCGGUUGGGGAUGGGCUCGCGGCCUAUCAGCUUGUUGGUGGGGUGAUGGCCUACCAAGGCGACGACGGGUAGCCGGCCUGAGAGGGUGACCGGCCACACUGGGACUGAGACACGGCCCAGACUCCUACGGGAGGCAGCAGUGGGGAAUAUUGCACAAUGGGCGCAAGCCUGAUGCAGCGACGCCGCGUGAGGGAUGACGGCCUUCGGGUUGUAAACCUCUUUCAGUAGAGAAGAAGGCCUUCGGGUUGACGGUACCUGCAGAAGAAGCGCCGGCUAACUACGUG